UUGUACAUUAUUUUUAGUGUUAGUUCUUUAUAUAAAGUACCGUAUAAGUAUUUGUAAAUUGUUCCCAUAAAGUUACCAAGACCGCGUUUGCUACGUUUUACAAUUCGUAUAGCGUUCAUUUCUCUUUUAAGUUUUUCUUGAUACUGAUACUGUAUUUGUGGUGAGGUAUUAAAAUGUUGAGUUUGUUUAAUAAGUUCUUCAUAAGUAGUUUUUAGUUUUUAGUUAAGUUAAUAGAUAAGUAAUGAUUUUCGUGGUUUGUCGGUAAAUCUAUUGAUCCGGAUUGAAAGAUUAGGUCGCCGUUUUUGGACUGGAUAGGGGUUACUUUUAGGUAUUGUGUGUUGAUUGUCGAUAGGAGGCAUAACAUGAAUAUCAUGCUCGGGAGUAGGCCUGGAAUUAUCGUUAUUAUAUUUACUUUUAUAAAUUUUCUUUUUUUUCACUUAGAUUUAUAGUGUAUCUUUCUACCUCUAUUUGUUUCUUCGAAAUGUUUAUCAUCUAUUUGUCUUAAAUUUCUUGUCUUUUUGAAUGGGUUAGUCGUUUUUGAUCUAACUAGAGGGGAUUCUUUGAAGUUUGUGUCUAUGUUAAAAUCGUGUCUAUUUUCAUUGAGUUUGUCAAUUUUGCUUACUUUAUUUUUUGAGUGUUAUAGGUAGGGGUUCCUGCAAAAAUGAAGAUAUCUGAUGGGGUUCGACCAGUUGUGUUGCGUUUUGUUUUGUGAUUGUCAAUGUAAAGUAUUUUUUUAAAUUUUAAAAUUAAAAAUUAAAAAAAAUAAAAAAUUAAAUAUUAUUAAUUUUUCAUUAACGGUUUUAAGUUUAAGUGCAAUGCACAUGAAGGCGGAGUCUUUGUCGGCUUUUAUUUCUAUGGGUUUACCCAUAUCGUUGAAUAUGCGUAAAAUAUCUCUUUUAGUUUCAAGCCAAUCUCUACUGUUUACCUCUAUCAGGAAGGCGUAUUUAGAAUAAAUGUCAAUACAUGAUAGGAAUUGUUUAUUGUUUACUAAUUAAAUAUGGUGUCCAUGACAUACUUUUCUCUGGGAGUAAAGGUUUCUGGGGUUGUUUCAAGGGUUAAUUUUGUAUUUCUAUGUUCAGUUUUAGCGAUGUUACAGAUUUCCCAUUCGUUUAUGAUGUUAUGGAUAAGUUUUUGAUAAUCAGGGUAAUAGUAAAGUUCUUUGAACUGAAGUGUGAGUUUUUCUAUACCAGGGUAUAUUAAUUCUUUAUGCGUUUUGAGAAUGAUUUCUUAAAUUGGGCGUAUGUUUGAAUGUCUAUUAGUUUACUACUAGUUUUCAUAGUUUUAGUGAAACUGUCGGGACUUAUGAUUUGACUAUACGCAUUUUGAAAUAUUUGAAAGUCGAUCUCAUCAGGAAAGUAAAUAACACUUUUCUUAGUCCAGAAGUAUUCUUUAAUGAUAUCUUUUGAAGGGUAUCAGUCAUUUCUUUAUAACUGAUUUUAAUUCUGGUUUUAUGGAAAUAUUUUAUUAUUUGGAUGUCGUCAAAAUUGUCUUUUAUGAAUUCGAAUUGUCUGUUGUAAUAAUUAAGAGGUCUUUCUGUUAUUGAAAUGUCAUUUUGGUUGUCUUCUUGUGCACAAUGCACAGUAACUGCUGUGGAAAGGGAAGCUGGGUCAUCUUCUCCUAGGAAGUUUUCCUGAAUUUCAACUCUAGAUAGAGCGUCAGCUACAUGAUUUUCUUUACCGGGUAGAUAUUGAAUAUUAUAAUCGUAUUCGUUAAGUUUUAUCUUCCAUCUCUGUAAUUUCAUAUUGGGAUCUUUUAUGUUACUUAGCCGUACAAGUGGCCUAUGAUCGCUUAAUCUGUCGAACUUUCUACCGAAUAGGUAGGUCCUGAAAUAUUUUGUUUCCCAUACUAUAGCUAAUAGUUCUUUUUAUAUUGCCGAAUAGUUAAGUUCGUGUUCGUUUAAAGUUCUGCUUGCAUAGCAGGGUGGUUUAUGCUCUUGGGAUAAUACAGUACCUAUGGCUAUAUUACUUGCGUCUGUUGUCAGCGAUAAUUUCUUUUCGAAGUUGGGGUAUAUUAGGAUUGGAUCAGACUUGAUGAGUACUUUUAGUUUCUCGAAGGCGGAAAAGUAAUCAUUAUCUUUUGUGUCAAUUACUGCUCCUUUUUUUAAUUUGGACGUCAUAGGUUUUGCUAUUUUUGCAAAAUUGGGAAUGAACUUACGGUAGAAUCCGCAGAGUCCAAGGAAUGUGGUUUUAGGAAUAGGAAAAUUAAUAAUUGUUAGGGUUUGGUUUUAUAGCGUCUGUUGUGAUAAUGUGACCGAGAAAUUCUGUUUCUUUAUUCAGAAAUUCACAUUUAUCAACUUCCAAUUUUAGAUUGUGUUCUUCCAAUGAAGUGGAAUAAAUGAUUAUAUCAUCUAAAUAAACUAAACAAAUUAAAUUAAGUCUUCUAGAAGAUUGCUCAUGCAGCGUUGAAAUGUUGGUGGUGCAUUUUUUAUACCAAAAGUCAUACGAGUAUAUUCGUAAUGUACAUGUUUUGUUGAAAAUGCUGUUUUGGAUAUUGAUUGCUGGUCCAUUUGAAUUUGAUGGAAACCUUUAGUUAGAUCAAUGGUUGUGAGGUAUUGAGAGCGUCCAAGCUUCUCUAAUAUUUCGUCCAUUACUGGAAUAGGGAAUUUGUCGUCAAUGGUUAUUUCAUUGAGAUAGUCUAUGACUAAUCGAAAUUUUGGUUUGCCAGAAGCAUCACUUCUCUUUGGCACAAUCCAAAUGGGAGAACAAUAGGGGGAUUUAGAUUUCCUAAUUAUGUUUUGUUCUAUCAUUUCUUUGAUUUGCCUGUUGACUUCUUGAUCAAACGCUUGGGGAUAUUUAUAUGGUUUUUUAUAGAUAGGGUCUUCGUGUUUUGUAUGAAUGACAUGUUUGUGAAGGCCAAAGUUUCACCUUCUUUGUACUGAAUAUCACGGUAUUCAAGCAAAACGUGGGAAAGUUGCCUUUCUUCUGUAUUUAGAUGUUCUAAUUUAAAUACGUUCGAUUUUCUUAACUCGUCAUCUAAGUCGUAGUUAGAGGAUGUUACUAGAAAGGCUUCUUCUAUGUAUGGGGUGAUAAGAGGGUUUUCCUCAGAUCCCAUUUACAGUAUAAAAGCUUAAAUAUUGCAAAGCUCCAAAUAGAACUUGUUAAAUAAAAUUGGCAACUGUCGGGCUUCGUGAUUAAACUAAAUAUUUUACAACGGACGAAGCUAUUCUAUCCUCCUAGAUCAGCUUUGACUAAGUCUGUUAAGCACCAUUCAAAUCUGUACUCUAUGAAAACUCUUCUCCUCGGAAGGCAUACCUACUUUUAAUGAGUUAUAUUUUUAUGUCUUUUUCCAGGAAGUUCGAAACGGCUUGAGUUACAUAUCCAUAAGUCUACAUAAUUAGCUUUAAAAACUUCCACUUCCACAGAUUCUUUUAUAUUUUAAAUUCUUUGAGUAAUUUUACUCUCCAGAAUCCAUAAUCUAAGCACCCAACAUAACAUAAAAAAACUGUUGUUUUACGAAAGAUUUAAAUACGCAAUUUUUUAGAAGCUACCUAUAAGAUAUUACCAUUAUUACCUAUAAUUAUAAUUAAUUAUUAAUUAAUAAUUAUUAAUAAUUAUGAUUAUAUUACUUACUCAUGAACUCGUUAAUAUUUGAUAAUAAUCGUAGACUAUAAAAAAAUUUAUAUGAUAAUUAAGCUUUGUUUAUAUUUAAAUGAAUAUUUUGAAUUCCCGA